rnacentral:antisense_RNA from 1 species
GAGCGCCCCUUCCCGGGCAGUUCCUCUCGGCGCCCCCGAGUCCUCCCCGCGCGCCGCUUCCCGGGUGGGCCCUUCCACCAGAACCCCCUGGUAGAUCCUCCCCUAGUGCCCUGGGGUAGAGGGGAGAUCCUCCACAAGGGUUAUUUCCCGGGUGAUCCCUCCCUGUGCCCCACAGGUGAGUCCUGCCGUAGCUCUCCAGGGGUUCCUCCUGAUGCUGGGGUCCUCCAGCAUUCCUCCCUGAGCCCCCCAAGGGCCCUGAAGCACAGCGGCCCAGCCCUGGCCUCGGGGUCCUCACCCCACACCUCCCUUCCAGGCCUAACCUUUGCCCCCGACACCAGGCAGCGCGUGUCCUUGGCCUUCGCCGCACAGCCCGCGUGGCAUCUCUGGACAGGUGGCCGUGCGCGCCUUGGUGUGGGCAGGCUCCGUAGCCGGCAAAGCCUCCCUGAACUGUGACCUGGUGAGAAGGCCACAGAGGAGCUGCCUGUGCCCAGAGGCCACCUCCAAAGACCCCACCUGAGGCUGGAACCCAGCGCCUGCUGACCCCGCCAGCCCCAACAGGGCUGGAGUCCAGGAUAGGCCGUGCUCUUUCCGCAGUGAGGCAGCUACCUUCUCUCCCCACCACCUGUCAGGAUGCCUUCCUGCGGGUGUUUGUGCACAGGUCUAAGGAGAGGAGAGUCCAGUGACCCAGACGCCCCAGCCAGGAAGAGCAUGAGGACAUGGAGCGGAGCGUUCAGGGCUAUCAGGAGGGAGCCCCGUGGCCACGGUGCAAGAUCUAGGCAGGUGGGACAGACAUGGUCAGGAUGCCGGGGACAGAGCAUGGGGAAUCCAGCACACAGGACACCAUCCAGGAAAGCAAAGCUGCGGCCUGAGAUCUCCUUCCACCAACUCCUGGCAUGGCCAGAAAGUUAGCCAGAAACACCAGAAAGUGCCAGGCAGCUAGGAGGCACGGGGAGAGCCCCCCGAAGCUGCGUGUGUAGUGCCUGCUUCCGCUGCCAUCCCAGAAACGGAUGAGCUUCACCCUGAGAACCCAGCCACGCCACUGGGACACAUCCUGAUGGUGACAUGCACACUGUCCCCUGGCCCCAGCUGGGAGAGGAGCCUCCUGAAGACACCAGCCUUUGCUCCUUCUCCCUGUGGGGGUGGAGAGAACUGACUGCUGGAGUGGAGACAGUCAAGGCUGUCCUUCUGAGGGAGCACGGCACAGGGUCUGGUGUCCCAGGGAGGCAAUCUGAACUUCAAGCCAGGCCUCCCCAGUGGAGAGGAUACACCCCUCACCAUGCAGAGUGACGUUUAGUAAACUCUCAAAAGACAGCACAGAGCCCCGCUCCUCCAGCCGACCCCUACUCUGCCUCCCCACUCCAGACCAGUGAAAAAGGUGGAUUGCCCUUAAGCCAGCUCAGAGGCAAAGUCCAAAGACCUCAGGUGAGUCAAACAAUAAAAACAAAGAAUUAAGAAGAAUCCAGCUGGGUGCAGUGGCUCACGCCUGUAAUCCCAGCACUUUGGGAGGCUGAGGCAGGAGGAUCACAAGCAGGAGAUUGAGCCCAUCCUGGCUAACACGGUGAAACCCCGUCUCUACUAAAAAAUAGAAAAAAUUAGCUGGGCAUGGUGGCGGGCGCCUGUAGUCCCAGCUACUCCGAAGGCUGAGGCAGGAGAAUGGCGUGAACCCAGGAGGUGGAGCUUGCAGUGAGCCGAGAUCGUGCCACUGCAUUCCAGCCUGGGCGACAGAGCGAGACUCCGUCUCCAAAAAAAAAAAAAAAAAAAAAAAUCCAUCCACUCCAUCCACUUAGAAGCAGAGCGAAUAGACAUUCAGGAAAGAGCUUUCAUGUCAGGACAGAAGUAGUGGCAUAUCCCCGGAGGCUGAGGUGGGAGCAUUGCUGAGAGGUGGCACAUGACCACAUCCAUGUCAUUCAACAACAGAAAAACAAGUCAGCGAGGGUGUGAGGGGUUUGUGAGAAACCCAGUAUGGAAGAAAACACAACUGGGCUGAGCGUGGUGGCUCACGCCUGUAAUCCCAGCACUUUGGGAGGCCAAGGCAGGAGGAUCACCUGAGGUCAGGAGUUCGAGACCAGCCUGGUCAACAUAGUGAAACCUCAUCUCUACUAAAAAUACAAAAAAAUUAGCUGGGUGUGGUGGCGCGUGCCUGUAGUCCCAGCUAUGCAGGAGGCUGAGGCAGGAGAACUGCAUGAACCCGGGAGCCGAGACCACACCACUGCACUCCAGCCUGGGGGCGGCACAGUGAGACUCCGUCUCAAAGAAACAAAUAUAAUAA